rnacentral:rRNA from 1 species
GACGAACGCUGGCGGCGUGCCUAAUACAUGCAAGUAGAACGCACAGUUUAUACCGUAGCUUGCUACACCAUAGACUGUGAGUUGCGAACGGGUGAGUAACGCGUAGGUAACCUGCCUGGUAGCGGGGGAUAACUAUUGGAAACGAUAGCUAAUACCGCAUAAUAUUGAUUAUUGCAUGAUAAUUAAUUGAAAGGUGCAAUUGCACCACUACCAGAUGGACCUGCGUUGUAUUAGCUAGUAGGUGAGGUAACGGCUCACCUAGGCGACGAUACAUAGCCAACCUGAGAGGGUGAUCGGCCACACUGGGACUGAGACACGGCCCAGACUCCUACGGGAGGCAGCAGUAGGGAAUCUUCGGCAAUGGACGAAAGUCUGACCGAGCAACGCCGCGUGAGUGAAGAAGGUUUUCGGAUCGUAAAGCUCUGUUGUAAGAGAAGAACGGGUGUGAGAGUGGAAAGUUCACACUGUGACGGUAUCUUACCAGAAAGGGACGGCUAACUACGUG